UUAUAUGGAGAGUUUGAUCCUGGCUCAGGACGAACGCUGGCGGCGUGCCUAAUACAUGCAAGUCGAGCGGACGGAUGGGAGCUUGCUCCCUGAAGUCAGCGGCGGACGGGUGAGUAACACGUGGGCAACCUGCCUGUAAGACUGGGAUAACUUCGGGAAACCGGAGCUAAUACCGGAUAAUGCAUAACCUCUCAUGAGGUUAUGCUGAAAGAU
rnacentral:rRNA from 1 species